UACGUAGGGUGCGAGCGUUAAUCGGAAUUACUGGGCGUAAAGCGCACGUAGGCGGCUUUGCAAGUUAGAGGUGAAAGCCCGGGGCUCAACUCCGGAAUUGCCUUUAAAACUGCAUCGCUAGAGUUGUGGAGAGGUAAGUGGAAUUCCGAGUGUAGAGGUGAAAUUCGUAGAUAUUCGGAAGAACACCAGUGGCGAAGGCGACUUACUGGACACAUACUGACGCUGAGGUGCGAAAGCGUGGGGAGCAAACAGGG
rnacentral:rRNA from 1 species